rnacentral:rRNA from 1 species
UGACGAGGCACUGCGGUGCUGAAGCAACAAAUGCCCUGCUUCCAGGAAAAGCCUCUAAGCAUCAGGUAACAUCAAAUCGUACCCCAAACCGACACAGGUGGUCAGGUAGAGAAUACCAAGGCGCUUGAGAGAACUCGGGUGAAGGAACUAGGCAAAAUGGUGCCGUAACUUCGGGAGAAGGCACGCUGAUAUGUAGGUGAAGUCCCUCGCGGAUGGAGCUGAAAUCAGUCGAAGAUACCAGCUGGCUGCAACUGUUUAUUAAAAACACAGCACUGUGCAAACACGAAAGUGGACGUAUACGGUGUGACGCCUGCCCGGUGCCGGAAGGUUAAUUGAUGGGGUUAGCGCAAGCGAAGCUCUUGAUCGAAGCCCCGGUAAACGGCGGCCGUAACUAUAACGGUCCUAAGGUAGCGAAAUUCCUUGUCGGGUAAGUUCCGACCUGCACGAAUGGCGUAAUGAUGGCCAGGCUGUCUCCACCCGAGACUCAGUGAAAUUGAACUCGCUGUGAAGAUGCAGUGUACCCGCGGCAAGACGGAAAGACCCCGUGAACCUUUACUAUAGCUUGACACUGAACAUUGAGCCUUGAUGUGUAGGAUAGGUGGGAGGCUUUGAAGUGUGGACGCCAGUCUGCAUGGAGCCGACCUUGAAAUACCACCCUUUAAUGUUUGAUGUUCUAACGUUGACCCGUAAUCCGGGUUGCGGACAGUGUCUGGUGGGUAGUUUGACUGGGGCGGUCUCCUCCUAAAGAGUAACGGAGGAGCACGAAGGUUGGCUAAUCCUGGUCGGACAUCAGGAGGUUAGUGCAAUGGCAUAAGCCAGCUUGACUGCGAGCGUGACGGCGCGAGCAGGUGCGAAAGCAGGUCAUAGUGAUCCGGUGGUUCUGAAUGGAAGGGCCAUCGCUCAACGGAUAAAAGGUACUCCGGGGAUAACAGGCUGAUACCGCCCAAGAGUUCAUAUCGACGGCGGUGUUUGGCACCUCGAUGUCGGCUCAUCACAUCCUGGGGCUGAAGUAGGUCCCAAGGGUAUGGCUGUUCGCCAUUUAAAGUGGUACGCGAGCUGGGUUUAGAACGUCGUGAGACAGUUCGGUCCCUAUCUGCCGUGGGCGCUGGAGAACUGAGGGGGGCUGCUCCUAGUACGAGAGGACCGGAGUGGACGCAUCACUGGUGUUCGGGUUGUCAUGCCAAUGGCACUGCCCGGUAGCUAAAUGCGGAAGAGAUAAGUGCUGAAAGCAUCUAAGCACGAAACUUGCCCCGAGAUGAGUUCUCCCUGACUCCUUGAGAGUCCUGAAGGAACGUUGAAGACGACGACGUUGAUAGGCCGGGUGUGUAAGCGCAGCGAUGCGUUGAGCUAACCGGUACUAAUGAACCGUGAGG